AUUGAGUUAGUUUAAUAUAAAACCUUAGGAUGUGGGCCUAGAAAUGAAAUUAUUUUUCACUCAAUA
rnacentral:tRNA from 1 species